rnacentral:lncRNA from 1 species
AGCAAAUGCUGCACCAGGCGCAGGGGGCAAACCAACCAGCACAAACACACGCGUGGACGCAGGCCUUCACACCAGUCAUCGGCCAAUUUUCAGUCCACGCCAUCAAUCACUACCUCAAGUAUAACUGCCACAGAGCGAACCAAGCCCUGGCCAUCCACGCCCACGACAACAUUCGCCCCGAUGACUCCCCUGCCAGCAUUGCACGUAGACACAAACAGACCGAACACGGCUUCCUAAUCUUCACACCCGGCUACUCCAGUGGCAUCUAUGGCCAUGUGAUAGCCAUCAAACGGCACGGCACCAGCUGGCUGGUCCUGGACUCCGCUGACACCCAACCGCGGGCCAUACGCCGCACCACCGCACUUGAAACCACGGGCACGGUUUUUACGCUAUCAGCUCGCACACCCGAUACACCCCCCCUACAUCCGCUGUGCCUGAACGCGACCGGCCCGCCCGCUAACUGGGCGCCCGACCGCAUGCGCUCAGCAGACAGAAACACCCCACUUCCCGAACCCCCCGAAUACCGCUCCCUAACCCAACUAGCCCACCGCCUCACCUCUCAAGGACACCGCUUGCUCGACACGUGCGCAUGGGGCAAUAACUGCGCCCUCUUUGCUACCCUAGCGGCCUUACCCGGCAGCCAAGUCCCACUCAUGCCCACUGAACCUGCGAGCUGGGCAUCAAUGACAGGGGCCAUACGCACAUGUAUUGCAUCCAAACUCAGACAGUUAACCGCACCAAGCAGCCCGGGCAGCGACGAGCUGCGACUGCAUAUCCUGGGUCUCUACGAGGAAACCGAAACCCCUGAACGAACCGUGCAGACGCACUGCCGCAAUGUGGAAGACACAGCCAUGCUCACCAUUCCAGACCUCAUCGCAUUCCAGUCCCUCCUCCCCGGAGUACAAAUCCACAUUAUUGGCCCAGGGUACACAGACUGGCUCCCGCUCCCGAAACCCACGGCAUAUGACCGCCCCCAACACAACGUAUACCUAGCACACGUACCCCACUCGUGGGCCCUUGCGGGCUUCCCCCCUACCUUCCCAACCGCCGAAUGCAACCACUACAUAGCGGUAACACACUCAACUUGGACACACGGCCCCCGUACCCAGGACCCCUCCCUCCUCCGCUGGGGCCCCAUCUGGGAUGGCGGUCCAUGCACGCAAGAUAUCAUUGACAAGCAUGCCAAUACCCCCGUCCGCAGCCCACCACCCAAGAAGGCACGUACAAACACACUCACUCACGCUCUCCUGCGAGCCAUGGGAUCUCCCAUCAACCGCCGUAAAGCAGCAAAACGCGCCCUUUCCCUGUCCCCACCUUCACCGCACAAACCGACACGGCCCACCACAAACCUCCCUGCACAACGGACCCCUACCAAGGCACCUCCCUCGCAACCCACCCCUGGCACACCACCGAACCAUGCCUCCACACCCGCGCAACAACCACCACCAGUUAUUCACAACCCCCCACAGCGCGCUCCUGGAAAGAAAAGACAAGCCACGCUCCAGGCAUGUUUGGAAGCCGCGGCACUACCGCAGGCCCAGCGCCCGGCACCAGCUACACCCGCCCACACAAGCACAUGCCAUUUUGUCACGCUCAACGCCCGGGGGUUGUUAUCCAACCUGGCCCCCAUUAGGGAAGAAUCAGAAACCUGGGACGCGGACAUUCUCGUACUCACUGAAACUAAAACUCGAGCCCACAGGACCAGAACAGAACGCGACAUCAUCAAAAACAGCUUCAAAUCGUACUCCACGUUUGUCCACAGCACACCCCGACCGACACCGACAAAGGGGCCAAAACAAGACCAACGGCGGCACCAACCCUCGGGCGGAGUCACGCUUGCGGUUCACACCAGAUACGCCCGCAAAGAACAUAUCACCUGCCUCCCCACGCCGGCAACACUCCAGGGCUACAUGGUCCACCUGCGCAUGGCCCCUUCCUCUUCGACGCCUAUCCACAUCAUCGGAGUCUACUGCCCACCCGAUGACAAGCGCACCCGCGAAGCAUUGUACACCUACAUCACUCGAGCCUCACGAAGUGCAGCCCGUCUGAAAGAACCCCUCCUAGCCGGCGGGGACUGGAACGCUGCUGCUUACGACACGGACAGAAGCACCAACACCAGUACUACCAACGACACAACACAUCAAAACUUCUUGAAGCAGACGGGCUUAUCACCCGCCGCGCGCACACGCCCUAGGCCACAUACGUACACGCAGAUACAACACGACACAAUUACACAUCAGAGCCGCAUCGACGACUUCCUAGCAAACAACCACGCCCAGGGCUGCCCUGCGGCUACGGAAUGGACCUCAGCAUGCGGGGGCACCACCGAUCACCUGGGCCUACACUUAAAGGCUAACCUUCCCUACAAACCCACGGGAACCACCACUGCACCCGCGGAACCAGAUAUCCCGAGCGCAGACACAAGCACCGGCCCUACACUAGCAAACAUCGUCAAGCCUAUCACUCAAACCCAGAGUCGCACCAUCACACAGCGAUGGGAAGCAGACGGAACCACUGCCCUUGAAACCCUGUAUGCCGCGCUCACCAUACCCGGUCGCAGCGCACGACAAAUCAUCGACUCCACAGUAACCGCACUUUCAUCCAACACACAUCACGUAGCAAAUACACGCACCGCCCACAACAUUGUCACCGACGCACGCGCACAACUCUCCACGCUUGACCUCAACGCCGCAUCCACCGCCCUUUAUGGAGCACUAGCCGUCGGAGCCAAAAUCAUGCUCGACACGUGUCCCCAAAAACCGCCCCGAACCUCCAGAGCAAAACCGUCCCGGGCGGAGGCCAAGAAGCUAAAGCGGCUGCUAGCCACCGAAAAACAGAAAAAGCAACUCUACCUAGCUCUCGUGCACGCCUCCCCAGCGCAACCACAGGAGCCUCCCACUCCGCCCCCCACAGCGCCAGCACCCGUACCACCCGUGGCCCCUACGAACCCCACACCCGCGGCCGCCGCCAAACGGGACUGGGAAACUGCCCUCAAGACACGCCGCACUACUCAGAAAGAAGCCAAUGCCAAGGCCGCCAGCAAAUGGUUAACACGGAUUAGAAAGCUAUUCGCAACCUCUCAAGGCAAAGCCUCCAAAAUAAUGCUCGGCAAAUCAGGACCGCGACAAAAACUGACAGCUGUACGCCACCCUACUACCCAACACAUUGCCACCACCAGCACCGACAUCAACGAUGCGCUACACACUCAUUUCCAAGCUGCCGCUGAACCCACUGGUGGCCCACGCACUGGACGCUACCNNNNNNNNNNNNNNNNNNNNNNNNNNNNNNNNNNNNNNNNNNNNNNNNNNNNNNNNNNNNNNNNNNNNNNNNNNNNNNNNNNNNNNNNNNNNNNNNNNNNGGGCUGCCCUGCGGCUACGGAAUGGACCUCAGCAUGCGGGGGCACCACCGAUCACCUGGGCCUACACUUAAAGGCUAACCUUCCCUACAAACCCACGGGAACCACCACUGCACCCGCGGAACCAGAUAUCCCGAGCGCAGACACAAGCACCGGCCCUACACUAGCAAACAUCGUCAAGCCUAUCACUCAAACCCAGAGUCGCACCAUCACACAGCGAUGGGAAGCAGACGGAACCACUGCCCUUGAAACCCUGUAUGCCGCGCUCACCAUACCCGGUCGCAGCGCACGACAAAUCAUCGACUCCACAGUAACCGCACUUUCAUCCAACACACAUCACGUAGCAAAUACACGCACCGCCCACAACAUUGUCACCGACGCACGCGCACAACUCUCCACGCUUGACCUCAACGCCGCAUCCACCGCCCUUUAUGGAGCACUAGCCGUCGGAGCCAAAAUCAUGCUCGACACGUGUCCCCAAAAACCGCCCCGAACCUCCAGAGCAAAACCGUCCCGGGCGGAGGCCAAGAAGCUAAAGCGGCUGCUAGCCACCGAAAAACAGAAAAAGCAACUCUACCUAGCUCUCGUGCACGCCUCCCCAGCGCAACCACAGGAGCCUCCCACUCCGCCCCCCACAGCGCCAGCACCCGUACCACCCGUGGCCCCUACGAACCCCACACCCGCGGCCGCCGCCAAACGGGACUGGGAAACUGCCCUCAAGACACGCCGCACUACUCAGAAAGAAGCCAAUGCCAAGGCCGCCAGCAAAUGGUUAACACGGAUUAGAAAGCUAUUCGCAACCUCUCAAGGCAAAGCCUCCAAAAUAAUGCUCGGCAAAUCAGGACCGCGACAAAAACUGACAGCUGUACGCCACCCUACUACCCAACACAUUGCCACCACCAGCACCGACAUCAACGAUGCGCUACACACUCAUUUCCAAGCUGCCGCUGAACCCACUGGUGGCCCACGCACUGGACGCUACCGACCAGAAGACACCACCACCACCUUCCCCUGGAACGAACCAGGAGCACCCGACGGCGGCUUCCUGCUGGCCCGCGCACAACACCCGGACACCCAUUCCCUGCUGCCUAACGUCUCUGACGCGAGCAACUUCCAACGGUGCAUGCAAUCCCUCUCCCGCAACAAGAGUCCUGGCCCUGACGGCCUCCCAAACGAGCUACUCAAAUGCAUGCCAGAUGCGUUACAAGCCGCCGUCCAUACUCUCCUAUGUGUCGCAUGGAUUAAAGCCGAACUACCAGACGGCUGGUCCACCAGCGACACCAUUCUCUUGUACAAGAAGGCAGACCCGCUGUCCAUCUCCAAUUACAGACCCAUUGCACUGUGCAACACGCUCUACAAGCUCUACACCAGUUUAGUCACUCGGGCAGCCACCGAAGCAUGCACUGAGCUCCUCGUCCACAGCGAAGCCCAAGAAGGCUUUCAAAAGUACAAAGGAACGGAGCGCCAAAUCAUGAACCUACUGCACGUGAUUGAGGACGCAGCCCUCACAAAGCGCGACCUAUACGUCGCGUACAUCGACUUCUCAAACGCCUUCGGCACCAUAGACCACGACCGCUUGCUCACUGUAAUGCACCACCUCGGCCUCCCAACCGACUUCAUAGAAGUCGUGCGCAAUCUGUACUCUACCGCAAACACCACCAUCCGCACAGCCCACGGCCGCACAUCCCCCGUCCAGAUAAGGCGCGGCACCAUGCAAGGAGAUACCCUCUCACCACUGUUAUUUAUCAUCUUUCUCGAGCCACUCCUGAGGUGGCUCCACUACGGCGGCCGCGGCUACCGAUACGGCUGCCUCACAAACAGUGAGAAUGACCAACACAACUGUUCAUCACUAGGCUACGCGGAUGACCUGGCGCUAGCAGCCAACUCCCGUGAUAACCUCCGGUGCCAAACUGACAAAAUUGCGCGAUACGCCGCCUGGGGAGGUAUGCGCAUCAACCGCGACAAGAGCGCCUGCACAGGCAUCCUCCACAGCUUCGCAAGUGCCAACAGUUCAGACAAAAGCAUGAAAGGCCCCGCCUGCGAACGCACCCUCAAACGCUUCCUGGAUGGCCAAAUCCACAUUGGCUCUAACGUCAAGGAUGGAAAACUCACCAAGAUAGCCUUGCCGUACGUGUCCCCACAUAAAUCAUACCGCUAUCUCGGCGUGGAAAUCACCAUGACGAUGGACUGGCGCCCUCAACUUAAGGCGGUUAAAACCGACCUAACUGACGCCGGCGAAGAGCUGAGCAAGUACAAAAAACUCCCUCGCCAGUGCUACAUGCUCAUCAAACAAUGCCUCAAAGCAAAAGUGGCUUACUCCCUCCCAGCCAUGGCAUACACGCAACACGAUAUCCGGGCACUGGACGCCCAAAUCGCGGGUAUCACCCGUCGGUGCGUCGGCCUACCACGUGACUGCGCCACCCGCGCCAUCCUUCUGCCUGCCGAGAUGGGGGGCCUAGGAAUAGGCUCGCUCCGCGAAGAGUAUGUACAACGCGCCUCCAGACUGCUCAUGAUUUCGCUGAACGAUAACGGCAGGCUAGGCGUAAUUACGCGCCGCCUCCUCCACCUCCAAGCGGCGCAGGCGGGGAGCGACCUCCCGCUGCACGACAUGCGAAGAGCGGGGAAAUUUUUUGUUACCCUGAAACAACUCACCCUCCUUCAAGACCACGACCUGCUGGCCAUGCUGCAAGGCAAGGAAUUUGCAGCCGCCCUACCAACACUAGUGUCCAAACUCCGAGCCGCUGAGGCGAGCACGCCCGCUUACCUGCGAGCUGACUGGAUCAGCCCCCUGACAAUAGACCUUGGCUUGAACCUGGCCGACCUGGUGGACGCAAAUACGGGACGGCACAUCAUUGACACUGUACAGCUGGAUCGGCGAUUUCCAAAAGGCCGGGUAAAAGACCGGCACAAGCGCGCCCUGAACCGCUUCACUCACGCCCUAUGCAAACUUGCAGACACACAACCUAAGCCGACCGCCGGUACUAAACCCCUCCCCCUGCACAACCGAGCCCUACCCAAUGGCGUCUCCAAGACAGACCUUCGGACAGCUGGCGACCUGCCUAAACCUAUACCCCAACGCACUCUCACCUCUCUACUGGAGCGCUGGCAGCAGUCGACACCUCCGAGGCCCUCCGGAGCCCCGGCGCGGCCGGCGCUGCGGUGGAUGCUGUUCCACGCCCGCGCUCCGCACGUGGCCGACCGCGGCUGCCAGCCGGGCAGGCAGCCCCGCUGGCGCCGGCGCGUCGCUGUACACCCACGCCCACGUGGUGGCGGAGUCCGGGCGCACAUG